UUUAAAGUGCCUGAUAAAAGGGCCAUUGUGAUACAAUGAUAAAUACAAUACAGAUUGUCUUUAGAU
rnacentral:tRNA from 1 species